rnacentral:lncRNA from 1 species
UUCAAUGUUGUUUUGUGUGACGCGCUGCUCAAUUCGUUAUGUGUCUUCUUCUUCUUUUCGUGUCAUCUUUCACUUUAGUAUCUAUGCAUUUGCGUGUAGCAUGUUGCUUUGAAUGUUAAUUCUGAUUUUUUUGUAUCGUAUAAUUUCCUUUAGGUGAUGCAUGUAAUUAAUUACUUUUCUUUUGGCAGGUUUAUUUUAUUUUGCAGUCUUUCUUUCCUUCUUGUCUUUUUGCCUCCUAACGCAUUUUGGUGUUGGUUUUUUUUUUUUUGUUUUCGCUUGCUAAACAACAAGGAGGAAAGAACGACGUAAGUUACAGUCGCGUUCUCAUUAAAUCCCCAUGCCCUCCCUUGCUUGAAGUUAUCUAACUUCAGUAGUUGUUUUGUAUUUUUUUUUAAAUUUUUUUUUUUUUUUUUUUUUUUUUUUUUAUGUAAUUAAUUUUCAGUCCCCUCCCAGCCCAAACAGAGAGUGGGUCUAGGAAUUUUAAAUAUUCUAACGCCCAGUAAAUUUAGAACGGGGGGCGGUACGAUACCGUAGCUUUGGUUCGGGGUCGCAGUGGUGCUUAAACCUCAGUUAGACGGCUUGCGGCCAUCGCUUUCCUGAUGACGGCUGAAUCCAUAACCAGGACCCGGUAUGGUGCGAUGCUUGAGGGCGGAGUAGGAAACCCCUUGGAAAAAAAUAAUAAAAGAUGGUCCAUUUGUAUAGGCGGGAGGAUACGUAAAACUCCUUCAUUCCUCUCGGUUUCUUUUCUUUUAAUUCGCGGGUGCGAUGCUUGAGGGCGGAGUAGGAAACCCCUUGGAAAAAAAUAAUAAAAGAUGGUCCAUUUGUAUAGGCGGGAGGAUACGUAAAACUCCUUCAUUCCUCUCUGUUUCUUUUCUUUUAAUUCGCGGUAAAAAGUGGAUCGGUAGGCCUAAUGGGGAUGUUCAACCACUAUAAAGAAAGGAACAACGCGCCACUGAACUUACCUCCUGAGAAAUCAUGUUUUUGCGAUGGUCUUUCCCUGUUCAAAAUGAUGAGUUAGCCGUCACCACAACAAAGAAUAAUUGAAGUCAACUGUGUCUUGGUGACGGUUAGCUGAUUAUUUUGAAGAGGGUUUCUC